GAAAGGUUACUUCUGUAUGAUUUUGCUUUAGGUUGUUCGAUUGUGGAAGGCUCCGUUUUCGCUGCUGGUGGGUGUUCUCUGGCGGACGCUGCCUUGGGGUGAGCUUUAUUGCGAUGCCUGGAACCACUGGCUGACAAAAUGUCUGCUGGAGUGGCUGACAGCACGGAGCUGCAUAACUUGCCACCAGUCCUUGCUACCACUAUUGACCGGGAAGAUCUCGGAACCAGAAGUCUGCCACCAGCACCACAUGGGAGGUCAAGAUACUGUGCCUAUAUAUAGCCGAUGGUUGGUUUUCAGCUGUGUAGCGCGGGCGGUAGGUAUGUG